rnacentral:lncRNA from 1 species
GCUCCCUCCACUUCUGAGGACGUUUCCUGACACAUUCAACAGCAUCAGCGUCCAAUCAGGAGGGAGCUCAAAGAGUAAUCCAGCUAAUUCUAAGGACACAAAGGUUUUCUCUAGGUAAACAGUUUAGGUAAAUUACAAAGUGGUAAGUUUUUCUUGAGGAUUGAAUGAAGAAAGCUACUGGAUAUUGUGUAAGGCAGUUGAGUUUCUGCCUUAAACAAGUGAGUAAAGGCUCCUAUGGUUAAGACUGAUGUGUGUUGAGAGCACAUCUAACUUGAUAAGAUCAAUUGUAUUGGGAGUAAUUAAAACAAAUGUAUGUUCUUUGGGGUCAGAACUUUGUCUAAUCUUAAACUUUUUUCUACCAAUUCACUUAAGCAACUAUUGAAAUUUGUACUGCCCUCAAAAAUAU